UCCUACUUAACACCUCUCCUCCCACCUUGAU
rnacentral:piRNA from 1 species